UUCCCUAGUAAUGGGCAAAAAGAUACCAUGGUGGUGGAGGUAUUCUUUUAUCAGUCAAGGGCAGAGCAGAUGACAGUCCUUUGUUCAUCCUAGCUUGAUACCUAGCUUGGUGGCGAAAGCUGUUUCAUACCUAGGACUCAUAA